GUUUUCGGCAGUGCCAGCAGAUUUUCAGUGCCCUGUGCUGGCAGCAAAAUGUGACUGUGGAGCCAGGGGGGACGGAGGACGGGGCCGGGACGGGGCCAGGGAGGCUUUGGGCCUAAUGGCUCCGCCUAGAGGCUCAGACACCCAGCUGUAGGGGAUGGCAGACAGCAGGGGAGAAGCCCCGGGAAGAGGGGAGGCUCCACCCGGAUGCGGCCAGCAUGCUCUGCUUUCUCCUAAAGCCUUGGGGGCCAGACGAGGAAGCGCUGGUGGGAACCCUUGGAAGCCACAAUGCACGUGUUAUCGCAUACCAGCCAGGUGAUGGUCACCAGGUCAGAGCAAAGGGCCAACGUGGGGACACCACGAGGACCGUAAGAGCACCCUUCAGCCUGCUCUCGGCCUUCUCCACCUCCCUGUGCCUCGCGCGGUGCACCAACCUGCCCAGGCCUGCCUGGGGAUCCACCUGGGUGCCUGCCCCCGCAGCCUGGACCAGCAUCAAGCCCAGAAAGCAGCCCCCCGCCCAGGGAGAGCAGCCCCGCUGGGUCCCUGGCAUGGGCUCCCAAGCUGGUUCCUCCACAUCACAGCUGCAGGGGCUGACGUGAGCAGCUGCGAGCCACACGUGGAGGUGAGGUGCUGGGCCGGGGCCAGACACUCCCUCUAGCCCUGUGUCUCCUGGGAUCUGGUUCCUGGGCAGCUGGCAGGCAUGAAGGGCAGGGAGUCUGGCUCUGGCUGGCCCCCGUGGUGCCUAGCCAUGCCCCUGCCUCUCACCAAGUUCCUGCAGGCACAGCCAGGAGAGUGCUGGGCCCAAGUGACCUCAGUGCCGCCUGGGCUCUGGGCGCGGACAACUUUGCCCUGAAGACGUGGAGAAGAGCCAGCAGCUCUCCUCCCCCUCUUUCCUGGGCAGAGUUCUUUGGGGCUCCACCUCCUUGCCCCAAGAUGAGUGACUCAUGGCUACAGGAGAGAGGAGGGUCAGGCAGAGGGAGCUCAAGAAGGGGGGGGAAGGUGAUGCUUCCCACCCCCCCCCCCAGCUGCUCUGCUCGGGAGCCAGCCUGGAAGGAAGCCAGGGGCUUAACCCCCCUUGCUGCUGGAGGAGGCCCCCUGAGGCACCCAGCGCCAAAGCUGGGGCGGGAGAAGGGAGACACGCUCUGGGUUAGGAUAAGGACUGGAGGAAGGAGGGCAGGUAGAGGGCUUUUAACAGGUGCAUUCUAACAUGGGCAAACCAGGAGCAGUCUGUUCAUCCUAAUCUGCCCUGUUUCUAGAACCCUCCACCUUCCCCCCUGUCCCAGGGGCAUGGUGAGGAGCUCUGGCUGCAUAAGGAGCUCAGGAGGGUGGGAGCUAUCAGAGCACAGGCUGUCCUAGAUUUGCACAGAACUUUAGAACUGGAAGGGAAGUGGGGCCCAAGAGGUUGAGAGGCUGGUCAGAAGCCCCGGUCACUAACUUGUCAGGACCAGACAAAUCCAGAGCCCCAACUCCCCAUCCUGGCCCUCUCAUGGCCAGCAGAUCAAACUGCUACACAUCUGUGCUUUAAAGGGGGGAACUUUGUACAUGCCAGGGGGAUGCUCCAGGGCCCAAUGGCCCCAAACACCACAAGGGUUCCCUGCUGGAAAAGCUUCAACCCCACACCGGCCCACCUGGGCAAGGACCCCAAGUGGCUCUGAACCAGCACCUCCAGGGUGCAGGGCCUGGAAUCCAGGCUCUCCGCUCUCUAAGGGAAGCAAAAGUAGAGUCUGGCUCUCUGUGGCCUGGCUCACCCACUGGAAAGGGGCAGAACAUGUGGGUGGGUGACCAGGUGAGGGAGAGCAUGCCUGGGUGCAUGGGGGUGGUGGGGGGGGGGAGAGCAGGUGUAUUGGAGGGAGGGGGCCUUCCUCUUGCAGAGAACUUAGGAGUUGUGCUGUGAAGGGGAAGCAGAGGGAUUAGAGGACGGGCCUGGGAGAGAGGAACCUCCAGGAGAGAGGGUGGGGAUGGCAGCAGGUGGCAGAGAGGUGCCACGGCUGACACUGCCACCCCUACCCCCACCCCAUAGCCGGCCCAUCUCCACAAUCCCCUUGCUAAGGCCGCCAACGACACGAGGGGACUAAUUUAGGAGUAUUUUUAAAACUGUGGCCCUGGUGGAGGGGUUUAGCAGUUGUCAGCCAUCUGGAGUACCGUCACCUCCCUGAUCCUAUAGCCCUAAACCCAAAGCUGGUUACAGCUCGAGGGGGAGGCGGCAGGUGGGUGGGGUGGGGGCCUGUCCCUGGGAGGUGCCCACAGGCCUGGGAAGCGCCUCCCCUUGCCCCGGGAGGGGGAUGGGGGCUGGAGAGGGGGCUGGAGAGCCUGGUGUCCUCUGUGCCCACUCAGGCUCCCCCGCCCGCUCACGCACGCUCGCUCCCUGGGCCGCGCCGGCUCGCGCAGGGGCCGUCAGGUAAAUUAGAUCUGAAAGCUGACAAUUUCUGACCAUAUUUCCUUGAUUAUUUCAAACAAAUGCACAGCAGCCGCUGUAAGGAGAUUAAAGUGACAUAAACGUCCCGAGUGGGAGGGGGGAGGGCAGAGGAUUCAGGUCACCCCCAUCCGUCCCCCGCCUGACAGACGCUAUAUCGCUAUCCAAUCCAAUAAAAAAUCCCCCCCUUUUGCUUUAAUUAAUUUUACAGCUAGCUUGCUUAAUUACUUUCAAUCAAAAUCCUCCUGCCAUCGCAAAAUUAGAGAUGGUUGAGCUCCAUUAGCCUAAAUUCUUCAUUUCCAUACAGAAAAGAGGCUGUCUGCGUAGCCAGCCUGGGCCCCUGGCAGGACAGACGCCCGUCUGCCCGCCCGCUGCCGGCCAGCCCACUCCUGGCCUGCGCUCCGUGGCUGUCUCUGGCCUGUGCCUCCCCACCCCCACUCUGUUCCACCGCUGCUCCUGGAGGGGGGAUGGAGUUGAGGUCCAGGAGGGUACACUCCCCCCCACCUUCCAACUUUUCCCCCCAACUCGGCCAGGGCCUGUGGAGCUGGGCUGGACAACCAGGGCGGGCUUGCUCCUGGCUGAAGGAAUGGCAGAUCCUGGGACCCUGCUUUCCUGCUAAGGGGCCCCUGCUGCUCCCCUGGGGAGCCUAGUCUCCUGGCUGCCCAAGCCCAGAGCAGCCGGUUCUGGGUCCUCGGCCUCAGGCCUCCUCAGAAAGCAGAGCUCCUGGCCGGGCAGGAGCCCUUCCAGGCUCGCAUGCAGGCCCUGGUCAGUGUAGACCCCUGGAACCGACAUCACCCAGCGUCCCCUGUCCGCCGUUUCCGGGCCGGGGUCCUUGCUCCCUGUCUGAGCCACUCGAGGGCCAGCUGUCUCAGUGGUGCUAAAAGGCAGUGCAGCAGCCCCCACACACUCUGGUGUUCUCCAGGGGGCCUCCGCACGGGCCCCUCCUGGCCCUCUCUCGUCCCCGGUCCCCAGCCCGCAACAGCUGCUCCUCCACCCCCAGCAGGGCGAGGGUGGGUGGCGGGUCUGGGCUCUGUCCACAUCCUGUGCCUGCACCGGCGGCGCUCUCCUCCUCCCUUCCACCUGCCUCCUCCUCACGGCCCCCAGCCCCAACUCCGGAAGCUCCACUUCAGGUUUUCCGAGCUACAGCCCUGAGUGUCACCACGGGGUCCAGCCCGACCUGGGCUCCAGCUGAUUAAGGAUCUGCAACAGGAUGUAGGGAUUAUGGUAAAACCUGGCUCCGGAUCUACAGGGGCAGGGGGCCAAGUCCUGACUCUGGGACUCCCCUCCCCUCCCAUUUAUUUCUGCCUGCUUCCUCCCUCUCAGCUGCCAAGGGCCCAGGGUGGCUGAGCCUCCAGGUCCUUCCUGGGGUCUUGGCUGGACUCUGACGAGUGGAUGAUAUAGGGUACCAUUAAGGGACCCGGGGCGAAUCUGGCAGAAAGGCAAGAUCAGGACGGGUGGGGAAGGGGAGUUAUGGCUGAAAUCUGCCCUGGACCCUUUAAUGGGGCAGGAAGCUAAGCUGGUCUUCCUCAGGGAACGGGUAUGGAGGCGGGAUGUCCCGGGUCUGACUUCUGGGCAAAGGCAGAGCCAGGUGGGGAAGGAAGAGCUCUGAAGGCUUGCUGAGGCUCUCAUAGGCAGCGGGCCUUAGGGCUGUCCCGCUGCUGUGGCUGCACGACUCCAGGGUGUCAGGCCACUGUGGUCAGGUGGGGCAGCCGAACCUGGACCUCCAGAGCCUGGCCUCUGGGACGCCAGGGGCCCACUGGUCUGUCUACAGGCUCCUCACUGGUCUUGUGCUAAGGGUCAGCCCACGUCCUCUUCUUCCGGGGUCCAGGUGAGUUUCUCAAAUAUAUCCCAGGCACCUAUAGGCGUGUAUUUCCCAGGGUCAGGGACUCAGGGAGGAUGGUUUCGGGUGUCAGAGGGCUCCGAGUCUGAUGGGGAAGGCACAGCAGCACUGGGGCCUUCCACACACCCCUGGAGGCACAGGAGGGAGGCCAGCUGUGAGCUCCAGGAGGGCUUCCUGGAGCCCAGGCCCUGGCUGUGCCUGGGAGGCCAGCAGGUGCAGGAGGUAAAGAGGGGUAGUAAGCAGACACACAGACAUGCCACCGUCCCAGCUGGGCUCCCCGGGGCUCCGACUCCGACUGCAGGGCUGCCUGCCACACAGGUCUGCCUCUUCCCUCCUGCCCCCUCGUCAGUGAGUCAUCAGCAGAGGUGCCUAGGAGGCAGGAAUGAUCAGAGAGGCCUGUCCUCAGUGGCACCUGCUGACUUCCUGGCUGCUCUCCCUCCCACAGGGACAGGGCUGAGCUGGGUUCCUGCUCUGCCCCCAAGCACCAGGCCUGGCACAGACGGGUGGAACUGGUAGAAGGGAGGCUGGAAGAGUGAGUUCUGGGCCAGUUACCCAGGGCUCGAAGGAGCACAGCCCUGGGGCCGGCACAGCUCCCCACCAACCUGCCAGCCAGCGCCUGUGCGACAGGGAAGCACCCACCUCCUUCGACCCAGGGCCCGGCUGCCCCACCCUGACCCCACGCAAACUUCGGAGGUCCCAGGAGAAAUUUCAUUCCUCCUGGAAGCCCUCCGAGAUCACCACGCUCUGUAGGGUCCCUUCCUCGUCCUCUCAUGACGCCCUGCUCCAUGCGGUAGCACUUCUGUAAUAACUUGUUUAAUUACCCUUCUGUCUCCCUAGACUGCAGGACCCGUAGGAUGGGACUACUGUUUUAGCAGAGCGCCUGACCCAAAUAAAUAUUUACUGAAUGGAUACAGAAAACUAAGUGCUUCUCAAGUUCA